GGCGGAUGUAGCCAAAUGGAUUAAGGCAGU
rnacentral:tRNA from 1 species